UAACUCUAAGGGAUCCGAGUUGCCGGCCUCUUCAGUCUGAUGCUAUCAAUGCGGUUUUUUACUUCAAUGUCAACUCCUGUGGAACAACUAGAAGGUUUGACAACAACCUCCUGAUUUAUGAGAAUGAAGUGCUGUUCACAUCUUACCGGCUGAGAGUUGCCUGUCACUAUCUGGUCAAUGACACCAAGGUAGUACAGUUCUUGUACCAGAAUAAUCCUGCACCUGUAGUCCAGCCUGGCUUGGGGGACCUUGCGGUCAUCA